rnacentral:rRNA from 1 species
UACGUAGGGUGCGAGCGUUGUCCGGAAUUAUUGGGCGUAAAGAGCUUGUAGGCGGUUUGUCGCGUCUGCUGUGAAAAUCCGGGGCUCAACCCCGGACUUGCAGUGGGUACGGGCAGACUAGAGUGUGGUAGGGGAGACUGGAAUUCCUGGUGUAGCGGUGGAAUGCGCAGAUAUCAGGAGGAACACCAAUAGCGAAGGCAGCUCGCUGGGACGGUAUUGACGCUGAGGCGCGAAAGCGUGGGGAGCAAACAGG